rnacentral:tRNA from 5 species
GGGGGCAUAGCUCAGUUGGGAGAGCGCCUGCUUUGCAAGCAGGAGGUCAUCGGUUCGAUCCCGUUUGCCUCCACCA